rnacentral:lncRNA from 1 species
CCCCAAAGAGACACACUGUGUCUAAUAAAACCACUGUAUUGCAAUUCAGUGAUCUGUUUCCUCAGCUCUUCCAUCUCAAUGCGGCUCAUGCGGUAAGGAGCAACCAAAAUGGGCUGGGUGCCUGGUUGUAGGUCUAUAGUGAACUCAACUUUUCUGUCCACUGGCAAUCUGGGCAGUUCGUCCGGAAACACAUCUCGAAAGUCUCGGACUACUGGAAUCU